GUGAAAUGCUUGUGCUGAGAUGAAAUCACUUCUUUUCCACUAUCUGGCUUCAUCCUGAUACUACUCAGGCAGGCUUGAGCCCCUGCUAAUCUGUAGGGAGGGUGAAAUGCAAAGAGGUUUGUUUUGCUUUGGGGAGUAGAAAAAUGAGAUGGAAAUGACAGAGGUCUUUGAUAGAAAUGUAAAGAUGGGAGUACCCACGAAAUCAACAGAGCAAGUCAAAAUUCAAAACUACCUUCCAGAGAACUGCACUCAAGAGUUUAGGAUCUGUUGUUGCUCUAGUCAAAGUGCUAAUGAUGGCUCUGUAAGCAACCUGGCUAGGCUCUGAGAAUGCAGGUGGGGUUUGUACCAGGAGCAGUUUAGCAGACCUUCCUCCUGACCUCCUGAUGCAAUUAGCUGUGGUCAUACUGUGCUCAGAGAAUCCCCUCUGAGUGCAGCUGCAGUGAAGAAGCAGAAAUUUCUGAGGCAGCACAAACUUGCAAACCCUUCCACAAGAUUAUCAAAUGACAGCAGGUUGGAGGUCAUUUUCAACACGGGUUAUUCCUCUGUCUCCUCAACUGGAGGAUCAUAACUGUAAUUUCUGCACUUCUGCUCUCAGGAGACCCCACCUGCACUCAGCUCUGGGUCCUGAGCACAAGGACAGUGACCUGUUGGAGCAAGCCCAGCAGAGGAACAUGAAGAUGAUCAGAGGGAUGGAGGAGCUUUCCUGUGAGGAAGACUGAGAGAGUUGGGGUUGUUAAGCCAGGAAAAGAGAAGACUUUGGGAUGCCCUAAUUGCAGCCUUGCAGUGCCUAAAGGGGCUACAAGAGAAUUGGAGAGGGACUGUUUAAAAGGGCUUGCAGUGAUAGGACUGAGGAACAAUCACUUUAAGCUAAAAGAGAGUAGUGUUAGAUGAGAUAUUGGGAAGAAAUUUUUACUGUGAGGAUGGUGAGGCACUGGAACAGGUUUCCUGGAAAAUUUGUGGAUACCCCAUCCAUGGAAUUGUUUGAGGCCAGGUUGGAUGGGGCUUGGAGCAACCUAGAGGAAAUACCUGUAAUGAAAUGGUUGAUGGUGCUCACCAAGGCCCUAAUUUUUGUCAGAUGAGUAGGAGCAAAUAAAUUGCUGAACACCUCCCUCUGCCACCUCAGGUAAGCCAACACUCACCAAGUGAUGAGCUUAAGGCAGCAGAGAUUUGCCUUCUGAUUUUAAUGCACUGCAUAUCAAUCAUGUGUAAGGACUAAGGGAUUGUUCUCAAAAUUUCCAGGAAAUAAGACAAACCUGUACAGCUCAGGGAAUUUGAGCUGCAUGGGCUGUGAGUUGACAGUAGCACCUUGUGUGGCCUCUGGUCACAGCUGGAACCACCACCCCAGGAUCUGUUUUUUUUAGUGUGUCUCAGUACUCCCUGAGCUAAGUCAGCACAAGGAUAAAUCCCUUCUCAGCAAGCUUUGAACCUAAACCUCAAGGAGGAGGAAACUGCCUCACAUCCCAUGUGGCUGCUGAGCUUUGUGCUCAGGGGUAACCUGACAGGCAGACUGGAGAGAAAGUAUCCUUGUAGGUGCAUUUCCACCUCUGGGACAGAGCCUUUGGGAUUAAGUGUCCAAUAUUUAGGAAACAAAAGGAUGUUCAGUGCUCAGUCCUGACCUCGCUAUAACCUGUGGAGAAGCAGCAAAGAUUCUCUUUAACCAUGUAUGGCAUAAACAGCGAGGAAGGCGCUUGUAGCAAAAUCAGGAAGGAAUCUGAUAGAGAGCCCCAAAGAUAAAUGCCACUUCAGGCAAUGUUGCUUUAAGUUGUUGACAGGAGCACCGUCCACAGAGGAACUGUGAGCUUUAAGUGCUUCUCUGCUUCUGGGUGGGAUAAGGUGUCAUGUAAAAUGCAUUUUGUGUUCUUGUUUCAUCUCCCUCUCUCCACUCUUCCCCUGUGAGAGCGCACACACCGAAAGCAUUAAAACCAGACUGCGGUGAGUUUGCUUCACUAAUACAUCUCCACAUCAAAGGCCUUGCUGGAGUCCAUUGAUUCUGGCACAGUUGCAGAAACCAGUGACGUUUUCAGUGAGAAAUCAUGCACUUCUCGGUUGAUUUCGGGAAAGGUUAAAAAAAAAAAGGGAAUAAAAAAGCUCUACCAUGUGCAAAUAUUCACCCUACAGAGAGGCUGAUAAACCGUAAAAUGUUUGGUCUGGCUCCCUUGGGAUGACUUUAUUGACAGACAGAUGAGCUUUGGCUUACAUGAUGUUACAAAAACCUGUCCUAUUUAAGUUUUGUUUUCUCUGUUUGUGAAUAACAUGUGACAGUUCUUGUCUGACGUAUUCUUCCCUUCCUAUUUCUGAAGCAAUGCACCCUGUGCCAGUGAAUAGCACUGGGACACAGCCCCAUGACUUAUCUCAAAAAGCCCAGAGAUUAUCAACGGCCCCAGGUCAGAAGCACAGGGCACGUUGUUAUGCUUUGGGAGUGGCCCAGGCAGAUUUACCUCCAACACAGGUGUACCUUGACAGCAUUCUCAUUGGAAAAUCUACUUCUGCUCAUGAGAUCCAUCAGCUAUUUCUACUGAAAAUACUUCUGCUUUUAACUUUGCCUCAUAGACAUGAAACCAUUGUAUUUGUAUGUUACUUUAACUGAAACUACUCAUUUUCUACUGAAAAUGUCUCUCUGUUGUAAGACCUGUAUUACCCUUGUGUUUUGGUGCAAAAUCUGAAAAUGACAUAGGUCAAACCACAGAGUGGGAAGUACAGUUUUGUUCUUCUCUGGUUCUGGAAUUUCAGUAUUUGUAGGACUCUUUGGCUGUACUUUCUUUGCAUCCUGCCCAUGAACAGCUUCCGAAAUGUAAAAGCAUUAAGGUGUUUUCAAAAGGUGCCUGCAGACCACAUCUUUUCCUUAGAAACAUCCUCCUUGAGGCCCUCCCAGUUCCAGUCACCCACUCAUUUCUUCAAACAGAGCCCCUAAA